rnacentral:rRNA from 1 species
GACAGAGGGUGCAAACGUUGUUCGGAAUUACUGGGCGUAAAGCGCGUGUAGGCGGUUCGUAAAGCCAGGUGUGAAAGCCCUGGGCUUAACCCAGGAAGUGCACUUGAAACUCACGAACUUGAGUCCCGGAGAGGAAGGCGGAAUUCUCGGUGUAGAGGUGAAAUUCGUAGAUAUCGAGAGGAACAUCGGUGGCGAAGGCGGCCUUCUGGACGGUGACUGACGCUGAGACGCGAAAGCGUGGGGAGCAAACAGG